UUAGCGGCGGACGGGUGAGUAACGCGUGAGCAACCUUUCCCAGACAGGGGAAUAACACACCGAAAGGUGUACUAAUACCGCAUAAGACCACGGGAUCACAUGGUUCUGGGGUAAAAGAUUUAUCGGUUUGGGGUGGGCUCGCGUCCGAUUAGGUAGUUGGUGAGGUAACGGCCCACCAAGCCGACGAUCGGUAGCCGACCUGAGAGGGUGAUCGGCCACAUUGGGACUGAGACACGGCCCAAACUCCUACGGGAGGCAGCAGUGGGGAAUAUUGGGCAAUGGAGGAAACUCUGACCCAGCAACGCCGCGUGGAGGAAGAAGGUUUUCGGAUCGUAAACUCCUGUCCUUGGAGACGAGUAGAAGACGGUAUCCAAGGAGGAAGCCCCGGCUAACUACGUGCCAGCAGCCGCGGUAAUACGUAGGGGGCAAGCGUUGUCCGGAAUAAUUGGGCGUAAAGGGCGCGUAGGCGGCUCGGUAAGUCUGGAGUGAAAGUCCUGCUUUUAAGGUGGGAAUUGCUUUGGAUACUGUCGGGCUUGAGUGCAGGAGAGGUUAGUGGAAUUCCCAGUGUAGCGGUGAAAUGCGUAGAGAUUGGGAGGAACACCAGUGGCGAAGGCGACUAACUGGACUGUAACUGACGCUGAGGCGCGAAAGUGUGGGGAGCAAACAGGAUUAGAUACCCUGGUAGUCCACACUGUAAACGAUGAAUGCUAGGUGUAGGGGGUAUCGACCCCUUCUGUGCCGCAGUCAACACAAUAAGCAUUCCGCCUGGGGAGUACGGCCGCAAGGUUGAAACUCAAAG
rnacentral:rRNA from 1 species